rnacentral:rRNA from 1 species
AUUGAACGCUGGCGGCAGGCCUAACACAUGCAAGUCGAGCGAGCGGCGGACGGGUGAGUAAUGUCUGGGAACCUGCCUGAUGGGGGGGGAUAACUACUGUAAACGGUAGCUAAUACCGCAUACCAUCAGAUGUGCCCAGAUGGGAUUAGCUAGUAGGUGGGGUAACGGCUCACCUAGGCGACGCUCCCUAGCUGGUCUGAGAGGAGGACCAGCGACACGGGAACUGAGACACGGUCCAGACUCCGACGGGAGGCAGCAGUGGGGAAUAUUGCACAAUGGGCGCAAGCCUGAUACAGCCAUGCCGCGUGUGUGAAGAAGGCCUUCGGGUUGUAAAGUACUUUCAGCGGGGAGGCGUUACCCGCAGAAGAAGCACCGGCUAACUCCGUGCCAGCAGCCGCGGUAAUAC